rnacentral:lncRNA from 1 species
CAUAUUAAUACUAUGCUCCAAUGAAAUGCAUCAUAACACAGACAAUUCACAUAAGGGUUGGGUGAACUUGUCACCAAUUAGUCCAAGUUAACAUAGUGCCAGGCCGUAGCAUGGGGUCCUGGUCUUCCUGUCAUAACAUACAUUACUUACCAUUUCCCCAGGGCCUCCUCUGGGCUCCUGGUCUUCGAGUCUCAUAACCGUGCCAGGCCGUAGAAUGGGGUCCUGGUCUUUCCUUACAUAGUGCCAGGCCGUAGCAUGGGGUCCUUGUCUUCCUGUCAUGGACUAAUUGGGUCAUCCAAUAUUCACCCACAUCAACAACAAUCGAUGCAAUGCGGCAUAUUCGUGGAAACUAAUGCAAUCAUCCUAUUGC